AAUUGCAUUCCUCCUGUGAAGAAGAAUCAGGUGGAGGUCUUCAGUCAAGUCUACCCUGGCUUUAGGCAGCUCCUUUAGGCUUUGGCAGCCUUUCCAGCUGCUGUUUUUCUGCUGUGAAUUCUCAGUGAAACUAAUGAGCACCAUGCAGGAGCUGUUUUAAAAUAUAUCGUCAAGCUUCUGUAUUUUUAAGAAGACCUAACAGCUGUAAAUAUGGCUUGCAGUUUAUGUAGGAAGUGGAUCUGUCAUCCCCAGCAGAAGGCUUGCUGGGUCUGGUCUGGGUGCUUGCCAGCUCUCCAGCUACUCAGGAGCUGACUGCCAUCUCUGAUUCUGCUUGGCGCUGCCGUGCUCUGCAAGGCCGUUUACACCAAGCAGCGGCUGUUUCUGGAAGCUGUUCUGCCAAGUGGCUCUUUUACAUAAGAAUCGGACAGCUUUUUCCUGACUAAUUAUCUUCUAACUACUCCUAAUGACACUGAAGGUGCUGAGGAGAAAGGAGGAGCGAAAAUAUCGGUUUGAAAAGGCUGCCCACACCACGCGACGGGGCCCAGGAUGCUGCCUCACCACAGGGCGAGAGGCCCGGGCCCCGCAACGUGGCUGCCGUGAGGGCGGGGCGCACGGUGUCCCUGCCGUGCUGACUGGCAGGACUGGCGGCUAAAGGAGAAUUCUUUUACAAACUCGCUUCCCAAGAGAGAAGAGGCUGUCGCUUCUGCAUGCUGCAAAAGCAUUGCUGACGGCUGUGUUACUGGUGUGUAAAACCAACAGGGAGCUGAAUGCUGAAAGCUCACAGAAGCCCUGCAGAGCUCAGCAACCCAGGGUAAGUGUGCUGGGGCAUGGAUGAGGCUGUUCUUCAGGGCCUCGCAUCCUGCCCUGGCUGUGGCACGAGGCAGCAUGGCCCUGGAAGGUCGUCGGGGUACUUCUCUGACAUCUCAGAACCUUGUGGUGGCCCAAGGUGCAGUUCCACGGGCUUACUUUCCACUGCCAGGCUUUUCCAAACCUGUUCACUUUUCAGCUGAAUCGGUAAACUAAAUAAACAGUGUAUGACAUAGAAGAGGAGGUGGGAUGCGCGUGCAGGGAUAGAUGGGAAAAAGACAGUGUCUGUUCCUUCUGGCUGCAGCAGCCUUAGCUUGAGAGAUCACAGCCCAGAAACCUCGAAGCAGCCCCUGUUGGUGUGGGGCUGCUCUGCUCGCUCCUUGGCCAAUCCCAACAUACCUUUUAUAUUGAGGCAAUUUUCUGGCUUCUUUGUUCUGCCUGAAUUGAUGAUAAUUAGGUAUCAGCAUACACAUUGUGCCAUACAGCGCUGCUUGGGUGAUUUCCGUAUGGACUUAAUUAAUUAAGCUAAGUGCAAAAGGUUUAAAUUCUGUAUUUGUAAAAGUAAAGUGCUGGAUUCCAUUUUCAGAAAGAUUUUAUUCUCUGGAAACUGUUAAUAUAUUUCUACUGCUAUCACACUUUAAAUGAACUCACGAGUUAAGAACAGUGACAGAGAAUAAAUUAUCAUACAGCUGGUAGGAGAAAGAUAAAUAAAAGGAUAUACAUAAAAAUUAAUGGAUUCUGUCCCUGUGUGUGCGGAAGAACCAGUCCUUGAUGAUGAAAGGCUAUUAACUAGCUUAGUGUAAUUAACUGUUUUGCUUCAGGAAGAGGGGUUUGCAGUUCUUUCUUUGAAGCCAAGUGUCACAAGCAUGUGCAGAGUGCAAUAACCACUUUUCUGCAUUGAAAAAAUGCUUUAGGAAAUGUGUAGAGGAAGGUGGGGAGAUUUGGAACAGAAUGGUCACUUCACUCUUCAACAAAGGUAAAAAAUGAAGUCAGCUGAGAGGCUGUGCCAGCGAAACAGUGCAUUUGAAACUGAAUUUGAGACUCUGAGCAUCACCUUACUACAGUCUCCAGGCCAAUGGGAAGGUCCCCCAACUUGUCCAAUUCUAGGACCAGUCAUUAAGUGCCCUUUAUAAGGAGUACAUUUCAUUCUGAGUUGUAGGCAGAAAAAAUUACAAGGGCAGCUCACAAUUCUUAGCUGUUUAAUUCAUGGUAUAUAUUGAAUUUGGGAAAUGUACCUACUGAAGUUAAUGGAGGAAUGUUAGAAGGUCUGAGUUGACACCAUGGUAUGUUAUGCAGCUCCUUUCUUUUCUCACAAGCGAGGCCUGUGGGAGAGACAGAUGUGAUGGAAGGUGCUGUGGCAGCAGUACACCAUGCAGUCACCUUGACCAGACAGAGUUCCUUUUUUGCUUUUUUGGGAGUUCAAAUCAGCUGACAGAGGUGAAGGCAUGGCCCAUCUUGGUUUGGUAUCUUGACGUAUUGACACCUAGUGAAAGCAAGCUUUGCAGUUCGAGAAAAUAGCUGCUCUUACUGAUGAAUCAGCACCAUUUUUUUUCACUUAAGAAAAUGAAGCAUAUGGCAUGAUAGUGCUUGCUGUCAUACCUGCUGCUUAUCUGUGACAGAGAAACUGUCAAACGUACAGCCUGUAUGAAGUGGUUGUGACACAGGGAUAGCGUUUCAGAGAGGUGGAUGGUCCUGAAAACUCCUUGAGCAAACUAAGCAAACAGAAGAACGGACGAGAAAGAUUCCAGCUCAGCCCACUCAUUUUGUGACACUGGGCAGCUCUUCCCAGCAGCUUUGCAGGUUUAAUCAGAGUUUUCUGUGAAACUCUUCCUAAACAAUGGGGCAGCUCUGUAAAGUCGUGAGCCCCUUCUCUCAAAGCAGGGCAAGCACUUCUUCCUUCUGCUCCUUCCUCACCUUGCAAUGCCCCUUUCUGCUCUGAGCCAAGUGCAGCACCAGGAACUGCUGUGCUGCUGUGGGUGAAGUACUGCAGCAAGUGGGCAAGGGAGCCUGGCAUCACUUUGAGUCUCUUCUGCUGAUACUGACUUAAGGGAUAUGGCUGUGUCCUGGCCGGCUCUUCUUUUUGCACUGUGGGGAUUCUGAUUUCUUUUCAAAAACCUGCAUCACCACAGAAAUUAUCUGGGCUGCUGAGGGGUGUCUGGGUGAAGUGGCAGGAGGAAAGACUGGGGCCAAACCUGCUUCACCUGGGUAAUGGAGGAACAAAACCAUGGUAAAAUUAGGGUGCAAUGAAGAUGGAUAUCAAAAACUCAGAUUGCAGAAAAAGGACAUCUGAAUAGUCCUGUAAGAAAGACUUGAAGUUAGUCAUUUUCCCUUCUCUCCCCAAAAAGGAAUGUAACCACGUAUCUUUACAUAGUUUUUUGUUUCUUUAAAUCCAGAAGAUGUGCAUGCCCCUAUCAUUUCAUUAGUGAAAUUUAAGAAAUGGAUACCUUAAAGUAUUUCCAGAUUCUGCACUGAAAGUCUGCAGAAAUGAGAAGUAUUUCUGUAUUAUUCAGUGCCAUUCUUGGGGUGGGCUUGAAGGCUGGUGUUGUGCUGAGAUUUUCCCACCAAAUAAAGCUGUGAUCGUCUUUUUCCUUCUAUUACCUGUUCUGCAAACAGAAGAACCUAUUCUGCACUGGAAAUUACUCUGUAUAGAAAGGAUGGACUCAA